rnacentral:tRNA from 1 species
CCUUACUGACGCUAUUCUUGCGAGUGUUCACACAGAUUGUAUAGGUUGAAGUUAUAAGAGGAUAUGUUCCCAAACAUAUCAGCGUGUCCCAUUCGUCUAGAGGCCUAGGACACCGCCCUUUCACGGCGGUAACAGGGGUUCGACUCCCCUAUGGGACGCCACUUUAUAAAUGCAUUUACGAAUGUGAUUACAAAGUGGUUUGUCUAAUGACAAACGACAUGCUCUUUAACAAUCUGGAAAGCUGACAAGUCAUUCUUUAAGAAUGACAGUAAAGUUCUCAAUCAGUGACAUAUCAUGUCACUCACACAAUCAAGUGUGCUUGGACUUUGUCUUAUUGAAUCAAUAACGACAAAGCUUCUAUUUGAGUCCGGCAAAAACAAAACCUUAAUUGGUUGAUGAUUCAACACUCAGUGGUUUUGCGACGUAGAUUUCUUUUUUAGGCAACGCGCGCGAGACUUUUGCCGCCGAGAGCGUAACGUGUUACGUGACCAAGCAAAAGUUAAGCAAGAGGCAGCAUAAAAGAGAAAGAUCGAGCAAAAAAGACCUCUUGGGGUUGUAU